CCAGAAAUACUCUGUCUUCCUGCUUUGAGGACAGCUGAAGUCUCGCCACUUCUUCUGGAUGCUCUGACCAUCGGUAAGCCACCUCAGUCUCACCCUCCGCAGAAUGCAGGCCCACUCCGUUGCUGAAGGGCCUCCUCCUUGGGCCAGGGCGCCUGCUUCUGCCAGUGGCAUCAUCACCCCACUCCUCAGCCGCCAGUCAUCAGAGACACGGUCUGACUUUGUUACCCGGGCUGGAGUGCAGUGGUGCAAUCAUGGCUCACUGCAGCCUUAACCUCCUGGGCUAAGUGAUCCUCUCGCCAAGGCUAGGAUAAGUAGCUAGGACUACAGAUGCGCCCCAUCACGCCCAGCUAAUUUUACAACUUCUGUAGAGAUGGAGUGUUGCUGUGUUGCCCAGGCUGGUCUUGAAUUCCUGGGCUCAAGCGAUCCUCCUGUGUCCGGAAUUGGUGGGUUCUUGGUCUCACUGACUUCAAGAAUGAAGCCGCGGACCCUCGCGAGUCUGUAUCCACCAGCUACUCUUCCAGAUUCAUGAGGCAAGGCCUGCCUGCUCACCUGGCUGGCCCCAAGCACCUCUUCAACCUGUUGCCACCGUCCUGCCUUGCUGCCCUUCUCAGCUCAUCCAGCAGGGUCUCCAAGUCAUGGAAACAGAAGCACAUAUACACACAUGCUCAUAUGUACAUGCCCACAGCCACAUAAGCACACCGAGAAACACCAUCGCAGACAUGUUCUCGCAAGCACAUGCGCAUAACACACUCACUACCCCUCACGCGUAUACACAUUAAUACACACACUCAUGCACACUCAGUCUUACACACACAGACACACAGCCAUAACCACUGUUGUUGGUUGAAUUGUGCCCCCCCAUCCCCACCAAAAAGAUAAGUUGGAGUCCUAACCCCCAGUACCUGGGGAUGUGACCGUAGUUGGAAAUAGGGUGUUUGUAGAUGUAAUCAAAUUAAGAUGAGACCUUACUGGAUUAGAGUGGGCUUAAAUCCAGUGACUGGUGUCCUUAUAAGGAGAAAAAGAUUUGAAAACAGAGACAUGGAGACACAGAGCAGAAGGCCAUGUGAUGAUGGAGUCAGAGAUUGGAGUGAUGCAGCUACGAGCCGAGAAAUACCAAGGUGCUGGCAGCCCCCAGAAGCAAGGAGAGAGGCAAGGAACAAUCUCCAUCAGAGCCUCUGGAAGAAACAGACUCUGCCAACACCUUGAUUUCAGACUUUUGGCCUCCUUCACUGUGCGAGAAUACGUUUCUGUUGUUUUAAACUACUGAGUCACCAAGUCUGUGGUACUGUGUUAUGGCAGCCCCGGCAACAAAUCCAAUCAGACACACACACACACACACACACACACACACACACACACACACACGGCUGGCUCCAGGCUCAGUGAUGAGCUCAGAGGAGUUCCCCUUGGGAGCUGCUCUUUCUCUGUCUUCCUUCCUUAGUGAUUGGUCCAGUGGAUCCACAAAAGCUCAUGGCCCAGAGCAGGAGCCCAGUCAUUUUUAAUUCCUCUUCCCUGGAGUUCUUAACCAUGCGUUGCCCUCAAAAUCUGCUCUCAAGAUUUGGGUUGCCAUAUUUAGGAGCACCAGAAAACGUACAGGAAUGCUGUGUCUGCUUGCAUCAUAUUAAUUAAAAACUGGAAAUAACCUAAAUGUCCCAGAAUAGGUACAUAAACUGUGGCAUAUCCACUUAAUGGAAUACUACUCAGCAAUACAAAAGGAAAACCUAGUGUUACUUGAGCAACAUGGAUGAACUUCACAGACAUAAUAUUGCACAGCAUGAGGCAGACACAAAAGUGUGCAUAUGCUAUGAUUCCAUUUACAUGAGAUUCAAGAACAGGCAAAGCAGAUCUAUGGGGAUAGAAGUCAGAAUAGUGGUUACCUCUGGAAGGUGGAAUUGACUGGGAGGGGCUUCAGGGAACCUCCUGGGGUGCUGAAAACAUUCUGUGCUUGCACCGGGUGGUGGUUAUGUGGGCAUUACAUAAAAUUCACCAAGCUGCACCCUUAACGAUUUGUACAAUUUGAUGCACAAAUCUAACAUCUCAAUAAGAAAGAAAUUUUACAAAGUACCUAAGAAGCAAA